rnacentral:rRNA from 1 species
GACGAACGCUGGCGGCGUGCUUAACACAUGCAAGUCGAACGGAAAGGCCCUGCUUUUGUGGGGUGCUCGAGUGGCGAACGGGUGAGUAACACGUGAGUAACCUGCCCUUGACUUUGGGAUAACUUCAGGAAACUGGGGCUAAUACCGGAUAGGAGCUCCUGCUGCAUGGUGGGGGUUGGAAAGUUUCGGCGGUUGGGGAUGGACUCGCGGCUUAUCAGCUUGUUGGUGGGGUAGUGGCUUACCAAGGCUUUGACGGGUAGCCGGCCUGAGAGGGUGACCGGCCACAUUGGGACUCAGAUACGGCCCAGACUCCUACGGGAGGCAGCAGUGGGGAAUAUUGCACAAUGGGCGGAAGCCUGAUGCAGCAACGCCGCGUGCGGGAUGACGGCCUUCGGGUUGUAAACCGCUUUCGCCUGUGACAAAGCGUGAGUGACGGUAAUGGGUAAAGAAGCACCGGCUAACUACGUG